GAAGGUGUGUUGAGAAGCAUGCUGGAGGUAUCAGAAGUGCGAAUGCUGACGUGAGUAACGACAAAACGGGUGAAAAACCCGUUCGCCGAAAGACCAAGGGUUCCAGUCCAACGUUAAUCGGGGCUGGGUGAGUCGACCCCUAAGGCGAGGCCGAAAGGCGUAGUCGAUGGGAAAAUGGUUAAUAUUCCAUUACUUCUGUGUAAUGCGAUGAGAGGACGGAGAAGGCUAAAUCAGCCUGGCGUUGGUUGUCCAGGUGAAAGGAUGUAGGCAUGUAUCUUAGGCAAAUCCGGGGUACUCUAUGCUGAGAUCUGAUAGCAAGCUGUACUUGUACAGCGAAGUGGUUGAUGCCAUGCUUCCAGGAAAAGUCUCUAAGCUUCAGUUACACAGGAAUCGUACCCGAAACCGACACAGGUGGUCAGGUCGAGUAGACCAAGGCGCUUGAGAGAACUCUGCUGAAGGAACUAGGCAAAAUGGUACCGUAACUUCGGGAGAAGGUACGCUGUUGUUGGUGAUGGAACUCGCUUCCUGAGCUGACGACAGCCGCAGAAACCAGGCCGCUGCAACUGUUUAUUAAAAACAUAGCACUCUGCAAACACGAAAGUGGACGUAUAGGGUGUGAUGCCUGCCCGGUGCUGGAAGGUUAAUUGAUGGGGUUAGCGUAAGCGAAGCUCUUGAUCGAAGCCCCAGUAAACGGCGGCCGUAACUAUAACGGUCCUAAGGUAGCGAAAUUCCUUGUCGGGUAAGUUCCGACCUGCACGAAUGGCAUAAUGAUGGCGGCGCUGUCUCCAGCAGAGGCUCAGUGAAAUCGAAAUCGCUGUGAAGAUGCAGUGUACCCGCGGCUAGACGGAAAGACCCCGUGAACCUUUACUGCAGCUUGACACUGAACUUUGACCUUACUUGUGUAGGAUAGGUGGGAGGCUUUGAAGCUGGAACGCUAGUUCCAGUGGAGCCGUCCUUGAAAUACCACCCUGGUAAUGUUGAGGUUCUAACUCUGUCCCGUGAUCCGGGACGAGGACCGUGUCUGGUGGGUAGUUUGACUGGGGCGGUCUCCUCCUAAAGAGUAACGGAGGAGUACGAAGGUGCGCUCAGCGUGGUCGGAAAUCACGCGUAGAGUAUAAAGGCAAAAGCGCGCUUAACUGCGAGACCCACAAGUCGAGCAGGUACGAAAGUAGGUCUUAGUGAUCCGGUGGUUCUGUAUGGAAGGGCCAUCGCUCAACGGAUAAAAGGUACUCUGGGGAUAACAGGCUGAUACCGCCCAAGAGUUCAUAUCGACGGCGGUGUUUGGCACCUCGAUGUCGGCUCAUCUCAUCCUGGGGCUGAAGCAGGUCCCAAGGGUAUGGCUGUUCGCCAUUUAAAGAGGUACGCGAGCUGGGUUUAGAACGUCGUGAGACAGUUCGGUCCCUAUCUACCGUGGGCGCUGGAAAUUUGAGAGGAUCUGCUCCUAGUACGAGAGGACCAGAGUGGACGAACCUCUGGUGUACCGGUUGUGACGCCAGUCGCAUCGCCGGGUAGCUAUGUUCGGAAGGGAUAACCGCUGAAAGCAUCUAAGCGGGAAGCCUACCUCAAGAUAAGAUUUCCCUAGGACUUUAUGUCCUCUAAAGAGCCGUUCGAGACUAGGACGUUGAUAGGUUGGAUGUGGAAGCAUAGUGAUAUGUGAAGCUGACCAAUACUAAUUGCUCGUGAGGCUUGACUAU
rnacentral:rRNA from 1 species